GAGUAACGCGUAGGUAACCUGCCUACUAGCGGGGGAUAACUAUUGGAAACGAUAGCUAAUACCGCAUAACAGCAUUUAACACAUGUUAGAUGCUUGAAAGGAGCAAUUGCUUCACUAGUAGAUGGACCUGCGUUGUAUUAGCUAGUUGGUGAGGUAACGGCUCACCAAGGCGACGAUACAUAGCCGACCUGAGAGGGUGAUCGGCCACACUGGGACUGAGACACGGCCCAGACUCCUACGGGAGGCAGCAGUAGGGAAUCUUCGGCAAUGGGGGCAACCCUGACCGAGCAACGCCGCGUGAGUGAAGAAGGUUUUCGGAUCGUAAAGCUCUGUUGUAAGAGAAGAACGUGUGUGAGAGUGGAAAGUUCACACAGUGACGGUAACUUACCAGAAAGGGACGGCUAACUACGUGCCAGCAGCCGCGGUAAUACGUAGGUCCCGAGCGUUGUCCGGAUUUAUUGGGCGUAAAGCGAGCGCAGGCGGUUUAAUAAGUCUGAAGUUAAAGGCAGUGGCUUAACCAUUGUUCGCUUUGGAAACUGUUAGACUUGAGUGCAGAAGGGGAGAGUGGAAUUCCAUGUGUA
rnacentral:rRNA from 1 species